GAGAGAGAGAGAGAGAGAGAGAGAGAGAGAGAGAGAGAGAGAGAGAGAGAGAGAAAGGAAGAAAGUGUGAGAGAGAGAGAGAGAGAGAGAGAGAGAGAGAGAGAGAGAGAGAGAGAGAGAAAAGGAGGGGGCAAUAGUUCAUACUUAUGCCUUCCUACACUUUACACCUCUCACAGCUCUUGGACCAACUCAGAAAUUGAGUGAGGAGAACACGGCGAUGUACCGCUUAUCUCAGCAGCUCUCUUUGUACAGAAGCCACCUCGCCUGCCAUUCCUCCGGUAACCACGGAAACACAGAGACCUGAGCCCUAGGACCAUGCCCCAGGACUACCUGACAUGAUGACUCCUUGCUGUCCCCAGUCCACCUGGCCAUGCUGCUGCUCCAGUUUCAACUGGCCUGGGCCCUAGGACCAUGUCCCAGGACUACCUGACAUGAUGACUCCUUGCUGUCCCCAGUCCACCUGGCCAUGCUGCUGCUCCAGUUUCAACUGUUCUGCCUUACUAUUAUUCAACCAUGCUGGUCAUUUAUGAACAUUUGAACAUCUUGGUCACGUUCUGUUAUAAUCUCCACCCGGCACAGCCAGAAGAGGACUGGCCACCCCACAUAUGCUCUCUCAUUCUCUCUUUCUUUCUCUCUCUCGGAGGACCUGAGCCCUAGGACCGUGCCCCAGGACUACCUGACAUGAUGGCUCCUUGCUGUCCCCAGUCCACCUGACUGUGCUGCUGCUCCAGUUUCAACUGUUCUGCCUUAUUAUUAUUCGACCAUGCUGGUCAUUUAUGAACAUUUGAACAUCUUGGUCAUGUUCUGUUAUAAUCUCUACCCGGCACAGCCAGAAGAGGACUGGCCACCCCACAUAGCCCGGUUCCUCUCUAGGUUUCUUCCUAGGUUUUGGCCUUUCUAGGGAGUUUUUCCUAGCCACCGUGCUUUUACACCUGCAUUGUUUGCUGUUUGGGGUUUUAGGCUGGGUUUCUGUACAGCACUUUGAGAUAUCAGCUGAUGUACGAAGGGCUAUGUAAAUACAUUUGAUUUGAUUUGAUUUGA